rnacentral:rRNA from 1 species
CCUACGGGAGGCUGCAGUGGGGAAUAUUGGACAAUGGGCGAAAGCCUGAUCCAGCCAUGCCGCGUGUGUGAAGAAGGCCUUCGGGUUGUAAAGCACUUUCAGUGGGGAAGAAAGCCUUGGGGCUAAUACCCUCGAGGAAGGACAUCACCCACAGAAGAAGCACCGGCUAACUCCGUGCCAGCAGCCGCGGUAAUACGGAGGGUGCGAGCGUUAAUCGGAAUUACUGGGCGUAAAGCGCGCGUAGGCGGUCUGAUAAGCCGGUUGUGAAAGCCCCGGGCUCAACCUGGGAACGGCAUCCGGAACUGUCAGGCUAGAGUGCAGGAGAGGAAGGUAGAAUUCCCGGUGUAGCGGUGAAAUGCGUAGAGAUCGGGAGGAAUACCAGUGGCGAAGGCGGCCUUCUGGACUGACACUGACGCUGAGGUGCGAAAGCGUGGUAGCAAACAGGAUUAGAUACCCUAGUAGUC